CUCGAAAGGGUGCUAAUACGGAUAAGCCACGGAGACGCGGUCUUUCGGGAAAAGUGGGGACCUCGGGCCUGCGAUAUCGGAGAGUCCGCGCCCAUUAGCAGUUGGCGGGUAAAGGCCACCAAGGCGCGAUGGGUACUGGUCUGAAGGAUGAUCGCCACACUGAACUGAGACCGGUCCAGAUCCUACGGGGGCAGCAGUGGGAAUUUUCGCAAUGGGGAAACCCUGCGCAGCAACCCGCGUGAGGAUGAAGGCCUUGGGUCGAAAGCUCUGCAGAGGGAAGAAGUGUCGUGGUUAAUACCGCUCGAUUGACGGUACCUCAAAGGAGCACCGGCUACUCCGUGCAGCAGCCGCGUAAUACGGGGGUGCAAGGUUGUUCGGUUUAUUGGGGUAAAGGGCUGUAGGCGGUUGUUAAGUUGAUGUGAAAGCCCUGGGCUCAACCCGGGAAGGGCAUUG
rnacentral:rRNA from 1 species